GAUGAACGCUAGCGGCGGGCCUAAUACAUGCAAGCCGAACGGCAAGUGUGGUAGUAGUUUUGGUCCUAGAGUUGCGCAAGGGUGCGUAACACGUAUGCAACCUGCCCGCUACAGGGGGAUAGCUCCCCGAAAGGGUAAUUAACCCCGCAUAACAGCAUGUGAUGGCUUCUGAUUAUGGUUAAACCGCAAUUGGUUGCGUAUGGGCUUGCGGUUGAUUGGCUAGUUGGGUGGGUAAAGUCACACCAAGGCGGUGAUCAAUUGGGGUUCUGAGAGGAGGGCCCCGCACACGGGAAAUGAGACACGCGCCAGACUGCUACGGCAGGAAGCAGUAGGCAAUAAUGGACAAUGGUCGCACGACUCAACCCGCCAUGACGCGUGAAGGAAGAAGGCCUUCAGGGUCGUAAACUGAUUUUUCAUGUGGAUAAAAUACCCGUGCGCGGGGAAUUGAAGGUAACAGGCGAAUAAGCCACGGCUAACUACGUG
rnacentral:rRNA from 1 species